UUUGAUUCGCAAGGUGGAGGCAGCUGGUGACGUCAAGCGACGCGCUAACUAACAAACAAACAUGGCGGACUGAAACAUAACUCCCGCCGAAAGUAAAGUAGGAUAAUCAAUAACAAAAUGACUGAAGAGCUUGAAGACCUGUGAUUUAAUGAAGUAGUUAAUUCGUCGUCAGUGUUCCUAGCAGGAGGAAGAGAGUGCCAGGUGACAAGUUUCCCUUCUACCUUGCUGAUGUGGCCAAACGUCUUGUGUCCGCCGCCCGAACAACUGCUGUGGGAGGUUUUUAUUCCCGUCUGUUAGACCUUCAGGCUGUCGGAGGAGAAUGUCGAGGUGGCAGAAGUUUCUACAGGUGUUGUCUUUUUGGUGUAAACACUGGCAGCGAGGUCCGCUGCUGGUUGCCAAGGACUCCGCCACAGCGCGCCUUGUUCUGGGAGAGUUGCCCAGUCCGUAUGAGACCAUGCGCCUGGAGAGGGAAAGGUGUGUUGACCCAUAUGAUGUCCAGGUGGCAGAAGUAGAUGCACUCAUUGUCCAGGAAAUUGGCGCAGGAGCAGCGCUUGGUCCGCACAUGGCUCCGCUGCUGCUGCUGCUGCUGCUGCUGCUGCUGCUGCUGCUGGGUGUCGGUGUUGGUGGUGGAGGCUGUGGGUGUCUCUCCAGCUGGCGCUGAUAGCACUGUGGUGAAAUAAAACAACACCUGCUGAUUAAAGUGAGCAACACAUCCGGCUCAGACUCACUUAAGACUGCUACCAGAUGG